GGCGAACCAGUGCAAUCCAUUUGUGGAUUUCAAGGCGUUUACCAGAUUUCUAUCCUGUGAGUGCAAUCUUACACAUUGCGUGUUAGUUGUAUAUACUGUACAUCACUAUGUGCUGUUUGUUUUUUAUAUAGUGAACUCUACCUUUGAUUACCGUAUGUGGAUGGACGAAAGAUCUACUCAUGUACAUCAACUAGUUAAGUGCAAAAAACUAAUACCGUUUCCAGACAUUAAAGCUAAAUUUAACCUAACAAAUAGAACGACCUUCUAUCUACAACUUAAGUCCCUACUGACCAAAUACAACCAACAGGAGCUCACUAUGGUCCCCUUAUCGAAAUUUGAAACUGCAUGCCUAGCCUCAACUACACCCAAAAAAUCCUUGCCUUCGUAUGCAAUCUUCUAAACCAACCCAACUCCUGAGAUUCUGAUAAAGAACGCGGCAAACAGACCUGAAGCGUACAUUUGAUCAAUCCAAAUGGCAAGCAAUAUUCCAUACUUACAAAGGCAAAACACAAUGCACGUCCCACUUAGGUCUUAUGAGGAAAAUUUACUUCCGUUAAUACAUGGUACGGGCACGAUCGGUGAAAAUCUAUCCAGG